UACGUAGGGUGCAAGCGUUGUUCGGAGUUACUGGGCGUAAAGGGUGUGUAGGCGGUUGUUUAAGUUUGGUGUGAAAUCCCCGGGCUCAACCUGGGAAUGGCAUUUGGGACUGCAAGGCUGGAGUGUGGCAGAGGAGACUGGAAUUCCUGGUGUAGCAGUGAAAUGCGUAGAUAUCAGGAGGAAUACCGAUGGCGAAGGCAGGUCUCUGGGCUGACACUGACGCUCAUGCACGAAAGCGUGGGGAGCAAACAGG
rnacentral:rRNA from 1 species